rnacentral:rRNA from 1 species
AGUCAAGUAAUUAAGUGCAUGUGGUGGAUGCCUUGGCAGUCAGAGGCGAAGAAAGACGUGAUAGCCUGCGAAAAGCUCCGGGGAGGCGGCAAAUAUCCUGUGAUCCGGAGAUGUCUGAAUGGGGGAACCCACUUACCAUAAGGUAGGUAUUAUAUUCUGAAUACAUAGGAAUAUAAGGCGAACGAGGGGAAGUGAAACAUCUCAGUACCCUUAGGAAAAGAAAUCAA